AUCUUCUUAGUAUAACUAGUACCACUGACUUCCAAUCAGUAAGAUCCGAAUCAACAACGGAAGAAGAUA
rnacentral:tRNA from 1 species